AAAAAAUUAAAAUCAAAUAUCUAAGGUCAUAUAAACUCUUAACAAUAAGUUUGUGACAAAUUAAUAUAUGAAUGCAAACAUACAAGUAUAAAUAGAACGAACAUGUUGGUUCGGAUAAUUUUUGGUUCGUUACUAUGAACGAGAAGGUGACGUGUUUGGCUUAUAUAUAUUUCUAUUUAUUUUAACUCGUCAUUAUACAAAUAUGCACCAAUGGGUUUAAUCAGUUAUAAUUGUUUUAAACCAAUGACAUGCAUUCUCUUAAUUAUGUUGUUGGAAUAUUUUCUAAGGCAUGUCAUGAACUAUAAGUAUUAAACCCGCUUAUUAAGUCACACACAUUCGUAUACAUUUUAAGUAUAAAUGAUCAAUUAUGUUCACAGUCGUUUAAAUAGAAUAUUUGGAAUCUAGGCUCUUUUAUAUGAAUAGAGAACAUUCAAAAUGAUGGUAAAUGAUACAG
rnacentral:lncRNA from 1 species